rnacentral:misc_RNA from 1 species
AAAAAAAAAGUGAGAAGAUGUUUGCUUCAACAUCAAUAGCUGGUGACAAAGCAAUGCAUUUAAAAUGUUAUUGGUCCAAAUGCUUGAAUAAUAGGUGGAGAAGUUUUUCGACAUGGAUUCAAAAGAUCAUUAGUUCAGAACUGGUCAUAUUGGCCACGUGCUACCUAUGCCCUCAUCCUUCAUUAGGGUUCAUGGGGAGUUCAAGCAUUCAGUCCUCAAUCAAGAGGCAAGAGUUGAGCUCAAUCAGUGGUUGAGAUGGGGAACAAAGAAAGAGAAAGGUACCGGUUGCUAAGUUCACCAUUUGAAUGGUUAAAAGAAAAGGGUAGAGGGAUUCAAUCAUCAUUUGAUCAGAGUGUCCAAGCUUUUAAAUGUCAAAUUAGUUAAUAAAUCAAAGCAUAGCCCUACUUUUAGCAAUUAUCAUAAUCAUACAUUAUCACACUAAUUGUGGCAUGGAUGAACCUUAAGGGAAAAAGAUGCAAACCUAAUGGAGCAAAGAAGAAUGAGU